ensembl:snRNA U5 U5 spliceosomal RNA
AAGCUCAGGUUUCACUUCAUUCACGCACAAAUCUUUUGCCUUUUACUAAAGAUUUCCAUAGAGGGGAACGUUGACGAGUUCUUCUCAUUUUUGAAGGCUCUGCUAUGGCAGAGCU